rnacentral:antisense_RNA from 3 species
CUUGACCGAGCCCAGCCACAGCGGUCGCGUGCGGUCCUGCCCGUAGGUGGCGAGGAGCGCUUGGGCCUC